rnacentral:lncRNA from 1 species
ACAAGAUAAAGCUCUAAGGAGGAAAAGCAGAGUUUGAUUUGUUCCUCUCUUGUCCGUGUACUGAACUGGGUGCAGAACUGAUCUUAGAACAUGAAACCACUCCUCACCAGGUGACGGGCCUGAGUCUACUUUACCUGGUGCGUAUCCACACGAGAAAAGGUGAGGAAAAAUACAAUAAAAAGAGCAACAAAGGACAUAUGGAAGUAGACAACGGGAUGGAGCUCUUGCCAAUGGGAAAAGGUCCAAGAGAACAACAUAGAUAUUUUUGUGUGAUUUUUUUUCACAAUUUACUUAGAAAAAAGAAAAAAAAGAAAAUUCCAUCCUCUGAUUAAAUAAGCCAUAUACAAAGGAG